AAUCAACGCUGGCGGCGUGCCUCAGACAUGCAAGUCGAACGAUUAAAGCUCUCUUCGGAGAGUGUAUAGAGUGGCGCACGGGUGAGUAACACGUAAGUAAUCUACCUUCGAGUGGGGAAUAACGUCCGGAGACGGACGCUAAUACCGCAUAAUGCAGCGGCAUCGCAAGAUGACAGUUGUUAAAGAAUUUAUUCGCUUGAAGAGGAGCUUGCGGCAGAUUAGCUAGUUGGUAAGGUAAUGGCUUACCAAGGCUACGAUCUGUAACCGGUCUAAGAGGACGGUCGGUCACACUGACACUGAAUAACGGGUCAGACUCCUACGGGAGGCAGCAGUCGGGAAUUUUGGGCAAUGGGCG
rnacentral:rRNA from 1 species